GCAGUCGAGCGGUAGCAGGUCCUUCGGGAUGCUGACGAGCGGCGGACGGGUGAGUAAUGCAUAGGAAUCUGCCCGGUAGUGGGGGAUAACCUGGGGAAACCCAGGCUAAUACCGCAUACGUCCUACGGGAGAAAGGGGGCUUUGGCUCCCGCUAUUGGAUGAGCCUAUGUCGGAUUAGCUAGUUGGUGAGGUAAUGGCUCACCAAGGCAACGAUCCGUAGCUGGUCUGAGAGGAUGAUCAGCCACAUCGGGACUGAGACACGGCCCGAACUCCUACGGGAGGCAGCAGUGGGGAAUAUUGGACAAUGGGGGCAACCCUGAUCCAGCCAUGCCGCGUGUGUGAAGAAGGCCUUCGGGUUGUAAAGCACUUUCAGCGAGGAAGAACGCCUGGCGGUUAAUACCCGGUAGGAAAGACAUCACUCGCAGAAGAAGCACCGGCUAACUCCGUGCCAGCAGCCGCGGUAAUACGGAGGGUGCAAGCGUUAAUCGGAAUUACUGGGCGUAAAGCGCGCGUAGGUGGCUUGAUAAGCCGGUUGUGAAAGCCCCGGGCUCAACCUGGGAACGGCAUCCGGAACUGUCAGGCUAGAGUGCAGGAGAGGAAGGUAGAAUUCCCGGUGUAGCGGUGAAAUGCGUAGAGAUCGGGAGGAAUACCAGUGGCGAAGGCGGCCUUCUGGACUGACACUGACACUGAGGUGCGAAAGCGUGGGUAGCAAACAGGAUUAGAUACCCUGGUAGUCCACGCCGUAAACGAUGUCGACCAGCCGUUGGGUGCCUAGCGCACUUUGUGGCGAAGUUAACGCGAUAAGUCGACCGCCUGGGGAGUACGGCCGCAAGGUUAAAACUCAAAUGAAUUGACGGGGGCCCGCACAAGCGGUGGAGCAUGUGGUUUAAUUCGAUGCAACGCGAAGAACCUUACCUACCCUUGACAUCCU
rnacentral:rRNA from 1 species